rnacentral:rRNA from 1 species
GAUGAACGCUGGCGGCGUGCUUAACACAUGCCAGUCGAACGAAGCAUUUAGAACAGAUUACUUCGGUUUGAAGUUCUUUAUGACUGAGUGGCGGACGGGUGAGUAACGCGUGGGUAACCUGCCUUGUACUGGGGGAUAGCAGCUGGAAACGGCUGGUAAUACCGCAUAAGCGCACAAUGUUGCAUGACAUGGUGUGAAAAACUCCGGUGGUAUAAGAUGGACCCGCGUCUGAUUAGCUAGUUGGUGAGAUAACAGCCCACCAAGGCGACGAUCAGUAGCCGACCUGAGAGGGUGACCGGCCACAUUGGGACUGAGACACGGCCCAGACUCCUACGGGAGGCAGCAGUGGGGAAUAUUGCACAAUGGAGGAAACUCUGAUGCAGCGACGCCGCGUGAGUGAAGAAGUAAUUCGUUAUGUAAAGCUCUAUCAGCAGGGAAGAUAGUGACGGUACCUGACGAAGAAGCGCCGGCUAAAUACGUG